UACGUAGGGGGGCGAGCGUUGUCCGGAUUUAUUGGGCGUAAAGAGCUCGUAGGCGGCUUGGCAAGUCGGGUGUGAAACCUCCAGGCUCAACCUGGAGACGCCACUCGAUACUGCUAUGGCUAGAGUCCGGUAGGGGACCACGGAAUUCCUGGUGUAGCGGUGAAAUGCGCAGAUAUCAGGAGGAACACCGGUGGCGAAGGCGGUGGUCUGGGCCGGCACUGACGCUGAGGAGCGAAAGCGUGGGUAGCAAACAGG
rnacentral:rRNA from 1 species